rnacentral:rRNA from 1 species
UACGGAGGGAGCUAGCGUUGUUCGGAAUUACUGGGCGUAAAGCGCGCGUAGGCGGCUUUGUAAGUUAGAGGUGAAAGCCCGGGGCUCAACCCCGGAACUGCCUUUAAGACUGCAUCGCUUGAAUCCAGGAGAGGUGAGUGGAAUUCCGAGUGUAGAGGUGAAAUUCGCAGAUAUCAGGAGGAACACCGAUGGCGAAGGCAGCCCCCUGGGCUGAGAUUGACGCUCAGGCACGAAAGCGUGGGGAGCAAACAGG